rnacentral:rRNA from 1 species
AUGAUCUUCCUUCCUGCCUUCCUUGAUUCAUCAAACUUCUGGAACACCGACCACAACCAGCUUCAGCUGCAACAAAUCGGCACUAACACUCAGAGUACUACCACUCCUUCACCAGCUGGUCCUGGUGAUGGAGGAUGCAACAACAAUAACGAAGAAGGGUUCAUGGCCACGGCCGGGGCCGGCUCAGUCGCUGGAGGGGGCGGCAAUGAUGGUUGCAGCGGCGCUGGGGACGGCGAUUGCAGUAAGAGCGGGAAUAGCAAGUCGAUGUCCAUGUCGGAGCGAGCUCAGUUGGCGGGGUUGCCGCAACCGGUGUCGGGGCUCAACUGCCCGCGAUGCGACUCCACCAACACCAAGUUUUGCUACUUCAAUAACUACUCCCUUAUCCAACCCCGCCACUUUUGCCGCUCCUGUCGCCGCUACUGGACGCGCGGUGGCACGCUCCGCAAUGUGCCUGUCGGCGGGGGGUAUCGUCGCCAUGCCAAGCGCAGGGGCAAGCCCAAUGUGGUGUCAAACACCUCCCGAUCUACCGCGGUAGGGACAUCGUCUGUGACAACAACCAUGUCCAGCAAUACCACUUAUGCCACCGGCACUGGCCCUGUGCCGCCCGGAUUGCAGGGCCCCAUGCUCGGCAGCGCGCCGUCACACGAUAGCCAGUUCGCCCACAGGAUCGACCCGGCAAGCCUUGGACUCAGCUUCCCCGACAGGCUGCUCUUUGCGGACGGUGGUUCUUGCGCGGUGGACGGUUGUGCGCAACACCACCACAACCAUGCACAUUGGUAUGGGAUGGAGCAGUGGUCGGCAGCGCAAAUUGGCAGCUUCCCAUUCAUGCACGCCAUGGAUCACCAGAUGUCUGGGGCAAUGCCCAUCACAAUGGCUACCAUGCAGGGCAUGUUCCACCUUGGAUUACAGAGCGUCGGUGGGGGUAAAGAUGACAACAGAGGAGGCCACCUGUUGCACCACAAGCAGCAGGAUUACUCGAGCAGCAGGGGCAUGUACGGGGACAUGGUCAAUGGCGAGUUAGAUCAAGAUUUAUUCUUAGAUUAG